GCGGACGUGGCGGAAUUGGUAGACGCACCAGAUUUAGGUUCUGGCGCCCAUGGCGUGAGAGUUCGAGUCUCUCCGUCCGCACCA
rnacentral:tRNA from 2 species